CAACUGAACCGCACUGGCCAGGGCCUGGGAGAACUUUUAAACACACAUAAACGUACAGAGAAUAGUGGGCCCCAUUGUGGAAAGAGCCCUGUUCUAGGAAGCGAACAUUCUACCCUCCAAGCUACCUUCUGAACUAUUGCCUGUGAUCUUGCACAAGUCACUGACCUUUAGUGACCCUCAGUUUGCUCAUCUGCAGAUGAUCUCUGAAGGUCAUAAUCAGGCCAACAUUUUUCUCAACUAAAGUUAGCUGGUACAAAUUCAAUCAAUAAAAUUAAGUGGAGACACUAGGAAAACUGACAGAAAAAAACAGCAACUGAGAACUUAAAAACCACCAUCAACAAUUUGACUCGUUCAAAAUAGCCUACAGGUGGC